GAUGAAGAACGUAGCGAAAUGCGAUAAGUAGUGUGAAUUGCAGAAUUCAGUGAAUCAUCGAAUCUUUGAACGCACAUUGCGCCCCAUGGUAUUCCGUGGGGCAUGCCUGUUCGAGCGUCAUUUACCCCCUCAAGCUCCGCUUGGUGUUGGGCGUCUGUCCCGCUUCGCGCGCGGACUCGCCCCAAAGGUAUUGGCAGCGGUCGUGCCAGCUUCUCGCGCAGCACAUUGCGCUUCUCGAGGCACCGGUGGGCCCGCGUCCAUCAAGCUCACCCCCCCAGUUUGACCUCGGAUCAGGUAGGGAUACCCGCUGAACUUAAGCAUAUCAAUAAGCCGAGGA
rnacentral:misc_RNA from 1 species